CGGACGGGUGAGUAACGCGUGAGAAUCUACCUUCAGGUUCGGGACAACCACUGGAAACGGUGGCUAAUACCGAAUGUGCCGAGAGGUGAAAGGCUUGCUGCCUGAAGAAGAGCUUGCGUCUGAUUAGCUAGUUGGUGUGGUAAAGGCGCACCAAGGCGACGAUCAGUAGCUGGUCUGAGAGGAUGAUCAGCCACACUGGGACUGAGACACGGCCCAGACUCCUACGGGAGGCAGCAGUGGGGAAUUUUCCGCAAUGGGCGAAAGCCUGACGGAGCAAUACCGCGUGAGGGAGGAAGGCUCUUGGGUCGUAAACCUCUUUUCUCAGGGAAGAAAAAAAUGACGGUACCUGAGGAAUAAGCAUCGGCUAACUCCGUGCCAGCAGCCGCGGUAAUACGGAGGAUGCAAGCGUUAUCCGGAAUGAUUGGGCGUAAAGGGUCCGCAGGUGGCAUUGUUUGUCUGCUGUUAAAGAGUCUGGCUCAACCAGAUCAAAGCAGUGGAAACUACAAAGCUAGAGUAUGGUCGGGGCAGAGGGAAUUCCUGGUGUAGCGGUGAAAUGCGUAGAUAUCAGGAAGAACACCGGUGGCGAAGGCGCUCUGCUAGGCCAAAACUGACACUGAGGGACGAAAGCUAGGGGAGCGAAUGGGAUUAGAUACCCCAGUAGUCC
rnacentral:rRNA from 1 species